rnacentral:misc_RNA from 1 species
GAUGAAGAACGCAGCGAAAUGCGAUAGGUAAUGUGAAUUGCAGAAUUCAGUGAAUCAUCGAAUCUUUGAACGCACAUUGCGCCCGCCAGUAUUCUGUCGGGCAUGCCUGUUCGAGCGUCAUUUCAACCAUCAAGCCCCAGGCUUGUGUUGGGGACCUGCGGCUGCCGCAGGCCCUGAAAACCAGUGGCGGGCUCGCUGUCACACCGGGCGUAGUAGAUUUUAUCUCGCUCAGGGCGUGCUGCGGGUUCCGGCCGUUAAAAAGCCUUUUUUACCCAGGGUUGACCUCGGAUCAGGUAGGAAGACCCGCUGAACUUAGGCAUAUCAAUAAGCGGAGGA